AAUGUAAAUAUCUGUGCUUUCC
rnacentral:piRNA from 1 species